CUUGAGCGAACCCAACAGCAGCGGCCGGUCGCGGUCCUGCCCGUAGGUGGCCAGGAUGGCCUCCGCCUC
rnacentral:antisense_RNA from 1 species